rnacentral:rRNA from 1 species
CCUACGGGUGGCAGCAGUGAGGAAUAUUGGUCAAUGGGCGUAAGCCUGAACCAGCCAAGUCGCGUGAGGGAUGAAGGUUCUAUGGAUCGUAAACCUCUUUUAUAAGGGAAUAAAGUGUGGGACGUGUCCUGUUUUGUAUGUACCUUAUGAAUAAGGAUCGGCUAACUCCGUGCCAGCAGCCGCGGUAAUACGGAGGAUCCGAGCGUUAUCCGGCUUUGUGGGGUUUAAAGGGUCCGUCGGCGGCCUUUUAAGUCAGCGGCGAAAGUCUGUGGCUCAACCAUAGAAUUGCCGUUGAAACUGGGAGGCUGGAGAAUGUUUGAGGCAGGCGGAAUGCGUGGUGUAGCGGUGAAAUGCUUAGAUAUCACGCAGAACCCCGAUUGCGAAGGCAGCCUGCCAAGCCAUGACUGACGCUGAUGCACGAAAGCGUGGGGAUCAAACAGGAUUAGAUACCCCAGUAGUC